rnacentral:rRNA from 1 species
UAGUCCACGCCGUAAACGAUGAGAGCUAGUUGUCUGCAGGCAUGCCUGUAGGUGACGCAGCUAACGCAUUAAGCUCUCCGCCUGGGGAGUACGGUCGCAAGAUUAAAACUCAAAGAAAUUGACGGGGGCCCGCACAAGCGGUGGAGCAUGUGGUUUAAUUCGAUGCAACGCGAAGAACCUUACCUACCCUUGACAUCCUCAGAACUUGUUAGAGAUAACUUGGUGCCUUCGGGAAUUGAGUGACAGGUGCUGCAUGGCUGUCGUCAGCUCGUGUCGUGAGAUGUUGGGUUAAGUCCCGCAACGAGCGCAACCCUCGCCGUUAGUUGCCAGCACUUCGGGUGGGAACUCUAACGGGACUGCCUGUGAAAGCAGGGAGGAAGGGCGAGGAUGACGUCUAGUCAGCAUGGGUCCUUACGAUCUGGGGCUACACACGUGCUACAAUGGCAGGUACAAAGCG